AUUCUCCCCCUCCCCCUCCUCCUCCUCACCAUCAUCAUCACUGUCACCUCACCACCGUCAUUACACUAUCAUCACCAUCACCACUAGCAUCACCACCAUCACCAUCAUCAUCAUCGUCGCUGCUGUCCUCAGCUGAGUGUUGUGCAAUGAAGCAGACUGGCAGGGAUUGUGAUGUAACCUUAUCUGCUGGAGUCAGCCAUGGAAGCCUGCCCACACUCCCAGUGUCACCUCUGGGCCCUCUGGGCCCUCCUACCUGUCCCUUCCCUAGAUACCUCUGAGAGUGCUAUCUGGGGAGGUAACGCUGGCACCUCAGAGCCCCUGGCUGUGGCCCAGGCUGACAUCCCAAAUGCAGAGCCCCCUCACCGUCAGUGGGAUUGGCAAACUCCUUGGGCACAGCUGCCCCAUCGUCCAGCUCGACAGCCUCUAGGCCCGUGCGGACCCCUUCAAUCUGGACCUCAUGCUCUCCCGAAGCCGUGUCAUCCUCUGACCUGGCACUCUCGCCCGUGCGACGGAAUUUCACCACCCUAGAGAACAGAGCAAAUCUGGUCAUGAUGGCUAGAACUUCCCUUCAAUGCCCUUGCUGAACAGCUCUUGUGCCCAAGACAGGUGAAAGGCUUUUUCUCAUGGUCCGGAGAAUCGAAUGGAUGUGCAGGUGGUGCUGCCGUUGCUGAUGUGUGGACUGAUUUCGUGCCACGGAGCCAAACAAACGAUUCUGCUGCGCGCCUGCCCCGUACCGAUCAGGAAGCAGUCGUGCCGAGGAUCGGAGCCCCUACUCUGUCGGCGGAGGGCUGGUUUGAGAGGUCGAUAGCCCACCGCUGCGUAAGAGUCCUCAAAUCACCAACACCUGCCACAACUCAGAUGGACGUUGAAACGUGAAGCCGGGCGAAGGAAGCCAGACGCAAAAGUCCGCAUGUUGUAUGAUUCCAUUUACGUGAAGUAUCCAGAAUGGACCAGUGCAUGGAGACAGAAGGGAUGAAGGGAAGAUGAAUGGAUCACCCUUGACUCCGAGGUAACAUCGCAGAGGGAAUGACCAUGAAGCCCAACAAUCUCCUCGGGAUCCUGCUUGUAUCGUAUCCUCUCCUCAAGGACCAUCCAAGGGCUCCACACUUCUUUCUGUGACUAAAGGGACCACUGCAACUCUGGGGAAGGAAUCUCCCCCUUUGGGGAGCAUUUUCUUCGUGUUCUGAGAAAGGAGACCAUGGCUUCCAGGUGAUGUUGGAGGAUAAGGGAAACAAAUCUAGAGUGAAGGAAGACAGAUAACGCCAGCACCAUUCGCUGAGCCCUAACUCGGAGCCAGGCACUGAGCUAAGAGCUUCUCAGUGAUGACUGUUCUGAUUCUCACUCACAACAGCCUUGCCCUGCAGAUACGGCCAUUAUCCUGACUUGACGGAGGAACACCCAGCGUUUGGGAGAUGAAGUCACUGGCCCGAGGCCACCCAGGUGUUCGAACUCACAUCUGCCCACCUCACAGCCCACACUUUUACCCCUGCUGUUGCUGAAGCUCAGGAGAAGUCAGUGGAAGAUUCAUUGAGGUAACGCACUUGAGUUUAAUCUUGAAGACAAAGUUGGUAAGAAAGGAGAGAGGAAGAAAGUGAACUGGGCAGACACAGUCUGAAGUUCCAACUCCUUGUCACACACUACAGGGGCCCCGUCUCUGCCCCUCCCUUGCUCACGCUGUCUCUCAAAAA